CACGUAGGGGUGCAAGCGUUGUCCGGAAUCAUUGGGCGUAAAGAGCUCGUAGGCGGCUUAGUAAGUCGGGGUGUGAAAACCCCCAGGCUCAACCUGGGGACGCCACCCGAUACUGCUAUAGCUAGAGUCCAGUAGGGGAGUGUGGGAAUUCCCAGUGUAGCGGUGAAAUGCGCAGAGUAUUGGGAGGAACACCAGCGGCGAAGGCGGCACUCUGGGCUGGUACGUGACGCUGAGGAGCGAAAGCGUGGGUAGCGAACAGG
rnacentral:rRNA from 1 species